rnacentral:sRNA from 12 species
AUUGGUGGCAGCUGAAGAAGCCGCAAAAAAUUUGAAAUUUUAAAACAAUAAAAAAUAACAACAAAGGAAUCGAAAAAAAAGAUCUCAUCUAUCUACGGCGGUUCACAGUCCAAUAUCCAAUAAUUAAACAAACCGAAAUAAACAAAGAAGUAGCCGUAGAGAAAACAAAGAAAUAGGAAGUAAUCCGCCGUGUCUUUGUCCCUCAAUACAUGUUUGUGAGGGUUUUGCUGUCUUCUUUGCCAUUGGCGUUGGAGAGCUUGCUGAGCAAACAACAUUAAAAUAAUAAAAAAAUAAAAAACAAAAAAAAAAAAAAAAAACUUCAUCGUCAUCUUCAAAAUCCGCGUCAGCGUCAACCUAGCAACAAUGCCACUUGAAGAUCGUAACGAAGUUAUACCACAAGAACCUCCACCACCACCACCAGCAACACUGCUAGCGGCUCAGAUACCAUUCACAAUGGACAACUUCUCGGAAAUACCCUACGAUGUGAUCAAUGCCAUUACCGAUUUCAAUAUCUGCAUGUCCCAGAUACUGGACAGUGUCCAUGUGCAUUCGCUGAUGCGAAUAUUUGAUAUAUGGCGGUAUUUAUUUUCCUGUUGAAAAAAAAAAAAAAA